GAUGAACGCUAGCUACAGGCUUAACACAUGCAAGUCGAGGGGCAGCGCAGUGUAGCAAUACAUGGGCGGCGACCGGCGCACGGGUGCGUAACGCGUAUCCAACCUUCCCGUUACUCUUGGAUAGCCUUCCGAAAGGGAGAUUAAUACAAGAUGGUAUUCAAAUUCCGCAUGUUAUUUGAAUUAAAGAUUUAUCGGUAACGGAUGGGGAUGCGUGACAUUAGGUAGAUGGCGGGGUAACGGCUCACCAAGCCUUCGAUGGAUAGGGGUUCUGAGAGGAAGGUCCCCCACAUUGGAACUGAGACACGGUCCAA
rnacentral:rRNA from 1 species